rnacentral:rRNA from 1 species
AGGACGAACGCUGGCGGCGUGCUUAACACAUGCAAGUCGAGCGGAAAGGCCCUUCGGGGUACUCGAGCGGCGAACGGGUGAGUAACACGUGAGUAACCUGCCCUAGGCUUUGGGAUAACCCUCGGAAACGGGGGCUAAUACCGGAUAUUCACUUCCUGCCGCAUGGUGGGUGGUGGAAAGUUUUUCGGUCUGGGAUGGGCUCGCGGCCUAUCAGCUUGUUGGUGGGGUGAUGGCCUACCAAGGCGACGACGGGUAG